AUUGAACGCUGGCGGCAGGCCUAACACAUGCAAGUCGAACGAGUGGCGGACGGGUGAGUAAUGUAUGGGAAACUGCCUGAUGGAGGGGGAUAACUACUGGAAACGGUAGCUAAUACCGCAUACCAUCGGAUGUGCCCAGAUGGGAUUAGCUAGUAGGUGGGGUAAAGGCUCACCUAGGCGACGAUCCCUAGCUGUUCUGAGAGGAUGACCAGCCACAUGUGAACUGAGACACGGUCCAGACUCCUACGGUAGGCAGCAGUGGGGAAUAAUGCACAAUGGGCGCAAGCCUGAUGCAGACAGGCCGCGUGUGUGAAGAAGGCCGUCGGGUUGUAAAGCACUUUCAGCGAGGAGGCGUUACUCGCAGAAGAAGCACCGGCUAACUCCGUGCCAGCAGCCGCGGUAAUAC
rnacentral:rRNA from 1 species